GUGGCAUUACACUUUUUAAAAAAUGAUUUUAGGAUUUGUACACUUAAGACAGCUGACGUUCGCUCAAUAGACACCAGGGGGCAGAUGUGAGCCGCAAUGUCAGAUUCUGCUGGCAACAACACAAUCUGAAAGAGAUGAAGGAAUAGGAAAACAGUGGUCCUCUCAUUUUAUAUUUAACUCAUGUCUAAUAAGUUAAGUAACUUCAAACUAAGUUAUUUUUCUGUAAUUAUAGUCAGAUAUUAAAUUAGUGGAUUUGUAUUUACACACUGAAGAAAACUUAAUCCUAAAGCUAAUGUCCUUUUUUUUUCCUUCAUAUUUUGCUUCAUUUAGAGACCAAAAUAUCACCUGACAGCUUCAUAUCAACUGCUGCACAGAAUAAACAAAAGAUCAAGGAUAACACAAUCACAGAGGAUGCGUUUGUUUCAUUUCCUGUUCCUGAAAAAAACGGGUCAAAUAUGAAUUCUCAGGAUGGAUCACGUGGCAGAAGUUUUACUGAAAUGCACAUCAUCCUCCAGAACCUGUCUGCUUCCAGCUCCACGGUGGCUCCAUGUUCCUACCUGGACGCUCCGACUCCAGUCAGCCAGGAAACAGACAAGAAACAGGACAGUUUAGAGCCUGGUGGUCAAAGUGCCAUAAGAGACCUGCAGAAUCUUCAAGAACAGAGCGUGCUAGGAAUCAAACCUCUCACUUCUUCAGAGACAAAAAACACCAUCACUUUUAAGAUCAGUACAAUCACUGGCACACGCAGAUCCUGCCUACAGCAGAGUCAGGAGGACUCACAGGAAGGUGAACUCCCCUGCAAACAUGAUGCAAAUGUCCAGAAGCAUCACAUUUCCCAUCAUUCAAACCUUGGUGAUGUCUGUGAGCAGUGUUACUUUGAGCCGAUAAUCCCAGCAGCUUUCAGCUUUGAUUCUGCUUUGGAGGAGGUGGAGAAACGUCCCUUCCUCGCUAAAGUCAGGAGCAGUCCAGACGAACUCUCACCUGAGGACAGCUCAAAUGCCACCUCCGCCCUCAAACACAGCUCUGAAAGGUCACCUCAGGUUCCUCCCACAACGUAUGAAAGCAGACUCCAUACAUUGGAGCAGGAAGAGAUGGCCUGUGCACCAGCAGAAGAAGAGAUUGAGAAGAAAUCUCACAAAGAAGUACAGACAACUCCGAUCUCCCAAGUCAGGUCGCUGCAGCUUGCUGUACUGCAGAACCGUCCAUUCAAAGAAACACUGACAUUAUUAGAUGUGGAUAAUCAACAAGAGGGGUCGAAGAGCCAAGCUCAGGUCAUGAAGAGAAAAUCCAACUUGAAAGCUUCUUGGAUGACAGAAAAGACAAGUGUUGAUUUAUCCUCAACGGGACAGGAGGUGAAACACGAAACCAAGACCAAGAUUGUUCAUUUUUACAGCUUUCAUAAAAACCCCAAUGCGAGAAACAACAGCGUCUCACCUCAGACUGGAAAUCAGGAGGACACAACAGGAAGACCCAAAGAAAAGGAUAUGCCAUCCCAGAUGGAGAAUGACACGUUGCAAGACGAUGAGACGUACAGAGCCAACCCGGUGUUCAUUUAUGAGGAUGACACUCUGUUGGCAACAGAGUUAAAGAUUACUGAGCCAGAGGACAGCCAGGGCAUGUCAGGACAUUUCAUAGACAAGAAACUCUCAUCUCCAGAAGAAGCUUUGAGCAGCUCCAUUUUCAUGAACAACCCAGUUUUUUCAGAAAAUACAGUAACAUCUGGGGAGGAAGUGGAUCAAAACAAUACUAAAGAGCGUCCCCGUCCAGAUGGCUCACAAGUAAGCAGCUUCAGAUGUGUGGAAGUUCAAGAACGUGACGCCACGGCUGACACUGAACGAUCCCCAAAUUUCAGUGAAUGGCAGAUUCCGAAAUCAAAAGACAACUUUAACAAAGUUAGAAAGAGUCCAAGUAAAACCUACCCCCCAAACAUUCUACCUCAAGAAUCCUUAUGUGCCAAGGAAUUUAGGCUGAGAGAGUCUCCAUUAAAAACCUUUCCAAUAGACAUCGUUCCCGAGGUGAAAGUUGCACAAGAGCCGCAGCAGAAGAUAAAGUCAGAGUCCAGACAGAUGGAGAGUUUCUCUCCUGUGAGAAAGCAGAGGGAGCUACCCAACACCAACACUGAUGAGGGUAUGUCUUCCUCUUCACCUGUUGCUAAACAAAGUCGAGACAGGGUCACGCAAUGUUUACUUUAAAAGAAAAUCAUUGUAAAGUGAGUAGGAAAUGAUAAAGAAUUAGUGUCAAUGGGAUUUAGAAGCAGUGAUUUGAAAUGUCUUUAAAUAUUGAACUUUUGUAAUGUUGUAAAAAGCCUCUUUUUGUCAUUUUUUCUGUUUUAUUUAUUAUUUAUUUUUUCUGUUUUAUCUUCCAAAAACAGCUAUAAGUUUCUCCAGGUCAAAAAAAAUGAAGACCAGCUAUUCUCUUCCUCUUCAGCUGGAUCAGGUAAAUUAAGUUUUAAAUUAAGACUUAUACUCCGCAGCAACUUAUAUUAGAACUAAAUUGAAAUAAAUACAUUGUAAACCCUCCUGUUAUGUUCAUUUAUGAGGAACA
rnacentral:lncRNA from 1 species